rnacentral:rRNA from 1 species
GACGAACGCUGGCGGCGUGCCUAAUACAUGCCAGUAGAACGCUGAAGGAGGAGCUUGCUUCUCUGGAUGAGUUGCGAACGGGUGAGUAACGCGUAGGUAACCUGCCUGGUAGCGGGGGAUAACUAUUGGAAACGAUAGCUAAUACCGCAUAAUAGUAGAUGUUGCAUGACAUUUGCUUAAAAGGUGCAAUUGCAUCACUACCAGAUGGACCUGCGUUGUAUUAGCUAGUUGUUGGGGUAACGGCUCACCAAGGCGACGAUACAUAGCCGACCUGAGAGGGUGAGCGGCCAGACUGGGACUGAGACACGGCCCAGACUGCUAGGGGAGGCAGCAGUAGGGAAUCUUCGGCAAUGGACGGAAGUCUGACCGAGCAACGCCGAGGGAGUGAAGAAGGUUGUCGGAUCGUAAAGCUCUGUUGUAAGAGAAGAACGAGUGUGAGAGUGGAAAGUUCACACUGUGACGGUAUCUUACCAGAAAGCGACGGCUAACUACGUG